rnacentral:sRNA from 1 species
AGUGGAGGGCGGCAAUCUAAGAACGCCACGUCCUGUCAACGAUUGCAUGACCAACGUCCUUUUGG